AGUGGGAUAGCUGGGUCAAAUGGUAGUUCCAUUCCCAGAUUUCCAAGGAAUCUCCAUACUGCUUUCUAGAGUGGUUGCACCAAUUUGCAGUCCCUCCGGCAAU
rnacentral:pre_miRNA from 1 species